rnacentral:rRNA from 1 species
UACGGGGGGAGCAAGCGUUGUUCGGAUUUACUGGGCGUAAAGGGCUCGUAGGCGGUUUGUCGCGUCGGGAGUGAAAACCUCGGGCUUAACUCGGGGCUUGCUUUCGAUACGGGCAGACUAGAGGUAUGCAGGGGAGAACGGAAUUCCUGGUGUAGCGGUGAAAUGCGCAGAUAUCAGGAGGAACACCGGUGGCGAAGGCGGUUCUCUGGGCAUGAUCUGACGCUGAGGAGCGAAAGUGUGGGGAGCGAACGGG